rnacentral:rRNA from 1 species
UCAUCAUCUCGUUGGCUGCGAACGAUAAGGGGUGGAUUAAAGUGAUGCCUAUGUUAUUGUGUCGUGUAUGCCCGAGAGAGUAUUAUACAUACUCAGGUGAUCCCAAAUCAUGCGCCGAUCCAUGGAUGGUGCUUGGAAU